rnacentral:rRNA from 1 species
UAGGGAAUCUUGCGCAAUGGGCGAAAGCCUGACGCAGCCAUGCCGCGUGAAUGAUGAAGGUCUUAGGAUUGUAAAUUCUUUCACCGGGGACGAUAAUGACGGUACCCGGAGAAGAAGCCCCGGCUAACUUCGUGCCAGCAGCCGCGGUAAUACGAAGGGGGCUAGCGUUGCUCGGAAUUACUGGGCGUAAAGGGCGCGUAGGCGGACAGUUUAGUCAGAGGUGAAAGCCCAGGGCUCAACCUUGGAAUUGCCUUUGAUACUGGCUGUCUUGAGUGCGGGAGAGGUGUGUGGAACUCCGAGUGUAGAGGUGAAAUUCGUAGAUAUUCGGAAGAACACCAGUGGCGAAGGCGACACACUGGCCCGUUACUGACGCUGAGGCGCGAAAGCGUGGGGAGCAAACAGGAUUAGAUACCCUGGUAGUCCACGCCGUAAACGAUGAUGCUAGUUGUCGGCAUGCAUGCAUGUCGGUGACGCAGCUAACGCAUUAAGCAUUCCGCCUGGGGGAGUACGGUC